GGAGUUUGGACCGUGUCUCAGUUCCAAUGUGGGGGACCUUCCUCUCAGAACCCCUACUGAUCGUAGCCUUGGUGGGCCGUUACCCCGCCAACAAGCUAAUCAGACGCAUCCCCAUCCUUAACCGACAAAAUCUUUGGUCCGGGUCAGAUGCCCUCGCUGGACCACAUCGGGCAUUAAUCCGGUUUUCACCGGGCUAUUCCCAAGUUAAGGGAAGGUUGGAUACGCGUUACUCACCCGUUUGCCACUAGGCUUUAAAAAGCAAGCUUUCUAUCGCCCCGUUCGACUUGCAUGUGUUAAGCACGCCGCCAGCGUUCGUCCUCGAGCCAGGAUCAAACUACU
rnacentral:rRNA from 1 species